AGCUGUGUGCCUUGGGCUGUCACUCCACCCUCCAGCCUCAGUUUGACCUGAGAGGCCGUGAGAAGAAAAGCCUCCUGGUGUUACGGGAGGACCAAAAGGGAGCGCCGAAUCCUCUGGAGCUUCUCACUCGAUUCGCCGUCUGAGGAAGGCAUGGGAGGAAGUUUCCAGGAAUUUGCAGCGUGUGGGGAGCUCAAGGUGUUCCAGUCACUGGCAGCAAUAACC